AGAUCAAGCUAAUAAGGGCUGUUGGUGGAUGCCUUGGCAUCGAGAGGCGAUGAAGGACGCGCAUACCUGCGAUAAGCUCUGGCGAGCUGGAAAGAAGCAUUGAGCCAGAGAUUUCCGAAUGGGGGAACCCAGUGGAGAUAAUACUCCAUUAUUCCUAACUGAAUACAUAGGUUGGGAAGGCAAACCUGCUGAAUUGAGACAUCUAAGUAGGCAGAGGAAGAGAAAUCAAACGAGAUUCCCGUAGUAGCGGCGAGCGAAGUGGGAAUAGCCCAAACCGAGAAUUUAUUCUCGGGGUUGUAGGGCCGACCGAUAUGGACGACGAAACUUAACAGAACUGCAUGGAAAGGCAGGGGAUACAGGGUGAAACCCCCGUAUGUGAAAAGUUUAGUUCUCCUAGGACGGUUCCUGAGUAGGUCCGGACACGUGAAACCCGGUCUGAAUCUGGGGAGACCACUCUCCAAGGCUAAAUACUACUCGAUGACCGAUAGUGCACAAGUACAGUGAUGGAAAGGUGAAAAGAACCCCUGUUAGGGGAGUGAAAUAGAAUCUGAAACCAGCAGCUUACAAGCGGUCAGAGGCCUAUGGUCCUUUUAGGAAUCACGGCUGAUGGCGUGCCUUUUGCAUGAUGAGCCAGCGAGUUGUGUUAUACGGCUAGGUUAAGGGACAUCCGUUCCGGAGCCGAAGUGAAAGCGAGCGUGAAUAGCGCAUUAAGUCGUAUGAUGCAGACACGAAACCAAGUGAUCUAUCCAUGGUCAGGAUGAAGCAAGGGUAACACCUUGUGAAGGUCCGAACCAGUAUCUGUUGAAAAAGAUUUGGAUGAACUGUGGAUAGGGGUGAAAGGCCAAUCAAACUUGGAGAUAUCUUGUUCUCUCCGAAAUAACUUUAGGGUUAGCCUCGACUUUGAGACUCAUGGGGGUAGAGCACUGGAUUCCUGAGGGGGCCUACCGGCCUACCAACGGAAACCAAACUACGAAUACUAUGAGUUAAGUCGGGAGAUAGACAGUGGGGGAUAAGCUUCAUUGUCGAAAGGGGAACAGCCCAGAUCGCCGAUUAAGGCCCCUAAUUCUAUACUAAGUGAGUAAGGAUGUGAAGUUUCUUAGACAGUUGGAAUGUUGGCUUAGAGGCAGCCACCAUUUAAAGAGUGCGUAACAGCUCACCAAUCGAGAAAUUUUGCGCCGAUAAUGAUCGGGACUAAGCAUAGAGCCGAAAUCGCGGGUGUGCCACGUUAGUGGUACGCGGUAGGAGAGCGUAGUAUGUGCAGUGAAGAUAUACCGUAAGGAGUGUUGGAGCGCAUACUAGUGAGGAUGCAUGGCAUAAGUAUACGAUAAAGGGAGUGAGAAUCUCCCUCGCCGAAAACCUAAGGUUUCCAGGGUAAAGCUCGUCUUCCCUGGGUUAGCCGGUCCCUAAGCUGAGGCUGAAAAGCGUAAGCGAUGGAAAGUAGGUUAAAUAUUCCUACGCCACCUAAAACUAUAGCAAUGGGGUGACGGAGUAAGUAAAGCAUGCGGGCUAUUGGAUGUCCGUUUGUGCAUGAGGCUGGUCAGUAGGUAAAUCCGCUGACGGAAAGCUAGGUGUACGACAAGGGGAAUCUUCGGAGGAACCGAUGGUGUGGAGCGAUGCUUCCAAGAAAUAACCUCUAGCUGUUGAUGGUGACCGUACCAAAACCGACACAGGUAGGUGGGAAGAAUAUUCUCAGGCGCGCGAGAGAACUCUCGUUAAGGAACUCGGCAAAUUGUCCUCGUAACUUCGGGAGAAGAGGAGCCCUUGAGUGUGAUACCUUCGCGGUUAAGCAUUUGGGGGCCGCAGUGAAUCGGCCCAGGCGACUGUUUAACAAAAACACAGCACUAUGCAAACUCGUCUAAGAGGAAGUAUAUGGUGUGAUGCCUGCCCAAUGCCAAAAGGUCAAAAGGAGAUGUCAGCCCUUCGGGGUAAAGCAUUGAAUUUAAGCCCUGGUGAAUGGCGGCCGUAACUAUAACGGUCCUAAGGUUAAUAGCUAGCCUUAGUAAAACCAAACUAUAUGCGGGAAACCCUUCAAAAGCUCAUGGUACUCGUCACGAAAAUGUGGCAGUAAAAAUCCAAGAGAAUUUUUUGAAUUGCUUUCGGUAUAGAAUUGAAGGUUUUAGAUGAGUAGACGUUUCGGAUGCCGAAACAAACUUAAUAGUUUGUGGAGGUUGAGAAAUCGUCUAAUCAUCUAAAAAGUUAAUCUAUAUAACGAAAUGAAUUUGAAAUUUUCUCGCGAGACAGGGAGGCAAUCCGCAGGAAAGAUUAAUUGUUGAAAAUUGGUCAGAACACUUGGAAAUGUAACCAAGCAGACUGAUCAACUGAGAUUAAGAUCCUCAGAGACCAAACGUUUGGAGUUUGAUAUGGAUUUACAAGCACAAUGGAUUGUUGGAUUCGUGGACGCAAAUGGAGAUUUCAUUAUUACGAUCAAUCGUAAGAACGAGAUCCUUUUUGAAUUCACAGUUGUUCAACAUGAGCGAGAUGUUCAAGUUCUCUAUGCACUGAAAGCUUUUUUCGGUUGUGGUGUGGUUCGUGAGAACCACGGCGAUCGGAUGGCUUACCGUGUGAGAAGCAUUGAGCACUUAACGGAAACGAUACUUCCCUUCUUUGAAAAGCAUCCGCUUAAAACAAGGAAAGGAGUAGAGUUUCGAAAAUUUCGAAAGAUAUUGCUUAAAAUCAAACAUAGCGACCAUUUGACCCCUGAAGGGAUUGAAGAAAUUCGAUCUUUGAAGAAUCAAAUGAAUCGUCUUCAAAUCAUACUAAACAAAGAAGAGUGCUUUAAUUAGUUUCAAUUUUUCACAGAAAAAUUAAAUUUUUUUUGAGCUAAUAGCCAUGAUGCUAUUAGUGAGAAAUAAAUUGAAAUUUAAUGCGGAAAAGAAAACUUAGGAAAGCUCUAUUAAUUGUUUAGUUGGUUUGUCAGACUAAGAUAGAGUCCGACUCCACUAGAAAUAGUGAGAGACUAAUCGAGCGAAAUUCCUUGUCGGGUAAGUUCCGACCUGCACGAAUGGCGUAACGAUCUGGGCACUGUCUCAACGAGAGACUCGGUGAAAUUGUAGUAGCGGUGAAGAUGCCGUUUACCCGCAGCUAGACGGAAAGACCCCGUGAACCUUUACUGUACUCUGAUAUUGGCUUUUGACUUGUCAUGUGUAGGAUAGCCGGGAGAUAGCGAAAGAGACUCGUCAGGGUUUCUGGAAUCAUCCUUGAAAUACCGGCCUUGACAUGUCGGAAAUCUAACGUAGCCCCAUGAAUCUGGGGUACGGACAUUGUCAGACGGGCAGUUUGACUGGGGCGGUUUCCUCCUAAAAGGUAACGGAGGAGUCCAAAGCUUGUCUCAUCGUGGUUGGCAAUCACGAGUAGAGCGUAAAAGUAUAAGACAAGUUGACUGCGAGACCAACAAGUCGAGCAGGUACGAAAGUAGGGUUUAGUGAUCCGGCGGUGGAAAGUGGAAUCGCCGUCGCUUAACGGAUAAAAGGUACUCCGGGGAUAACAGGCUUAUCGCCACCAAGAGUUCAUAUCGACGUGGCGGUUUGGCACCUCGAUGUCGGCUCAUCGCAUCCUGGGGCUGAAGAAGGUCCCAAGGGUUUGGCUGUUCGCCAAUUAAAGCGGUACGCGAGCUGGGUUCAAAACGUCGUGAGACAGUUUGGUCCCUAUCUGCUGUGGGCGCAGGAUACUUGAGAAGAGCUGCUUCUAGUACGAGAGGACCGAAGUGGACGAACCAAUGGUGUUUCGGUUGUUCUGCCAAGGGCAUUGCCGAGUAGCUACGUUCGGAAAGGAUAAGCGUUGAAAGCAUCUAAACGCCAAGCCUCCUUCAAGAUAAAGUAUCCCUAUGAGAUGACCAGAAGACGACUGGGUUGAUAGGCUGGGUGUGUAAGCGUAGCAAUACGUUGAGCUAACCAGUACUAAUACAUCCAUCGGCUUGAUCUUU
rnacentral:rRNA from 1 species